rnacentral:lncRNA from 1 species
CAGAAUAUGAUCACCAGACAAAGUUUUGAAGCCCAACUUCUUAGAUAACAAAAAACUUUAAAAAAUUAGAAAACUCUGAAACUCUCUCGCAAAACACCUCUGCUUAAGCAAAUCUGAUUUCUCUCUGGCGUCCGGCGGCGCGUCCGCGCGCGUGCCGCGCCGGAGGAGCCUCUUCCCCCUUAUCUUGUUUUCCUUUGCUGUUUCUCAGCCUCUCUCUUCCCCUUUCGAUAUGCUCGUGGCUCUGGGUUGGCGUGUCUCUCCGGUGAGCGCUUCGUGCGCAAGGAGCGUUCCUUUCCGGCAAGAACACUUUUCUUCUGGUGCUGUGGCGAGGAGGUCGCAAGGUCUGGCUGAGGAGUGGUCGGUUUUUAGGGUUUAUGGCGAGGUCAAUUUUUCUGGAUCUGGUUUCUAGAUCUCGCCGGAUCUCUUCGUCGUUGGGGGAUCUUGAAGGACUGCUCCAUCUACUAGACGGCGGCGGUGUCGUACGCUAAACUAUGGUGUCUUUCGGUAGCGACGGUUGGUCAAUUGGUUCUCUCCGGUGUCGGUGAGGUUCAACCCUCCCAUUUGUUAUCAAGUGAGUUUCGGUGGUGUUGUCACCGGAAGCGCGUCUGGAGUCUCGAUACGCAGACGGAGAUGGAACGCCGGUGACGAUUACAAGGCUCGAGGAGUUCAUCGGGAACUAGCUACUCCGGAAAUGACACGGGAGUUCCCGGCAACCGAGGCAACGAGGUGAACCUCACGGUCCCGUGGUUAUCGUCGAUGGUUGAGAACGGCAACCGAUUCUUUAGGAUUUUAAAAACGAUCUAGCCGAAUGUUCCGGGUCAAAAUCUGAUUUCUCUCUGGCGUCCGGCGGCGCGUCCGCGCGCGUGCCGCGCCGGAGGAGCCUCUUCCCCCUUAUCUUGUUUUCCUUUGCUGUUUCUCAGCCUCUCUCUUCCCCUUUCGAUAUGCUCGUGGCUCUGGGUUGGCGUGUCUCUCCGGUGAGCGCUUCGUGCGCAAGGAGCGUUCCUUUCCGGCAAGAACACUUUUCUUCUGGUGCUGUGGCGAGGAGGUCGCAAGGUCUGGCUGAGGAGUGGUCGGUUUUUAGGGUUUAUGGCGAGGUCAAUUUUUCUGGAUCUGGUUUCUAGAUCUCGCCGGAUCUCUUCGUCGUUGGGGGAUCUUGAAGGACUGCUCCAUCUACUAGACGGCGGCGGUGUCGUACGCUAAACUAUGGUGUCUUUCGGUAGCGACGGUUGGUCAAUUGGUUCUCUCCGGUGUCGGUGAGGUUCAACCCUCCCAUUUGUUAUCAAGUGAGUUUCGGUGGUGUUGUCACCGGAAGCGCGUCUGGAGUCUCGAUACGCAGACGGAGAUGGUAUCAGGCUCUGUUCCGGCGCGUGUGGUAGUUGCUUGGGUAUGCAUUAGGUAUGCUAAUGCAUUCGUACGUAUAAGUGUAUCCUUGUGUAUCCGAUCUAUCCCCCACGGCAUCCUCUCUGGUCCUCCGUGUUAAAAGUGGCCACUUUCUUUCCGGAGCUGUCUCAUUGCUUCAUUGUUCAACCGCUUCACGACUCAGAAGUUUGGUUCUACCGGUUAAGUAAAUGGUCUAUCGGUUCUCGAUAGCCGGAGUUGUAGAGGUGGUUCUCGGGAGUCAUUGAUCGCCUCGGGUCAACAGCUCGUCUAAGCUCCCUUCCCGGUGUCGUUUGGUCUGUAUGUACUAUGCGGCAGUGUGGCUUGACUUUACUUGCAGGUUACUGAGUUUUCUUGACAGGAUGUGGCGUCGAUAUCAACCCGAUUUUUGCACUUUUCGUGACGGCAAUGGAGGUGUACGUCUCUUGGUAAGAGUCUCUCUCAUCUUUACGCUCGUCUUGGACUACAACGCCGGUGACGAUUACAAGGCUCGAGGAGUUCAUCGGGAACUAGCUACUCCGGAAACGACACGGGAGUUCCCGGCAACCGAGGCAACGAGGUGAACCUCACGGUCCCGUGGUUAUCGUCGAUGGUUGAGAACGGCAACCGAUUCUUUAGGAUUUUAAAAACGAUCUAGCCGAAUGUUCCGGGUCAAGUGGGCGGGCGAAGCUAGGUUGUAAUACAUUGACUAGAGAGCUUUUGUUCAAAUCGACCUUGUAACCGAAACUGAUUUCCCGUUUAACGGUAGAUAACAAGUUAACAGUUUGGCAAUGGAUGAGAAAGUCUCAACAUAGUCUAAUCCCUCUUAUUGUGUAUACCUAGGGAUGUUAUAUAGGGUUGUGAGAUUUAGGGUUGACCCAGCCCAUCCAAUAAUUUAAGAAUCCUUACCCUAAUGCAUUAUUCCUUAAGUGUUUAGGGCCUAUUUAGGUCUAGGCUAAAAAG